rnacentral:rRNA from 1 species
AGUGAACGCUGGCGGUAGGCCUAACACAUGCAAGUCGAACGGCAGCACAGGAGAGCUUGCUCUCUGGGUGGCGAGUGGCGGACGGGUGAGGAAUACAUCGGAAUCUACUCUGUCGUGGGGGAUAACGUAGGGGAAACUUACGCUAAUACCGCAUACGAGCUACGGGUGAAAGCAGGGGACCUUCGGGCCUUGCGCGAUUGAACGAGCCGAUGUCGGAUUAGCGAGUCGGCGGGGUAAAGGCCCACCAAGGCGACGAUCCGUAGCUGGUCUGGGAGGAUGAGCAGCUACACUGGUACUAAGACACGGUCCAGACUCCUACGAGAGGCAGCAGUGGGUAAUAUUGGACAAUGGGCGCAAACCUGAUCCAGCCAUACCGCGUGGGUGAAGAAGGCCUUCGGGUUGUAAAGCCCUUUUGUUGGGAAAGAAAUCCAGCUGGCUAAUACCCGGUUGGGAUGACGGUACCCAAAGAAUAAGCACCGGCUAACUUCGUGCCAGCCGCCGCAGUAA